rnacentral:snRNA from 1 species
AGAUAGGAGGAUUAUCUGGUUGUGACACCUAUCGUCCCAUUGAUCUCCGGGGUUGAUUGCACUGAUGUGCCUGGUUAGGUGGGUGUCCCUUUUCUCCCCCACCACUCCAUGUCUGUCCCUCCUGAAGCUGCAUGCUCAUUGACUUUCCUGGAAUAGGAGAGGCCCUGUUUUUGAAUAAGGGUACAGGAGAAGCUGCUCUCCCUAGCAAGGACAUCCAAACAAGCUCUCCAAGAGUGAUGGGUGCUGACUACCCCCGAGGAAGUGAGCAUUCUAAUUUUAGGCAUGAUCCUUUUAAAAUUACUUUUAGUAAAUAAA